UGACCACGAGACCGAUAGCGAACAAGUACCGUGAGGAAAAAUUGAGAAGAACUUUGAAGAGAGAGUUCAAGAGUACGUGAAACCGUUCAGGGGUAAACCUGAGAAACCCGAAAGAUCGAAAGGAGAGAUUCAAUGUUAUCGUUGUCUUCCAUUUAGUGGCGUGCGAUUGACCGGGAUUCGUCCCGCGAUACGCCGUCGGUUUAUGUGUCAGGCGGCGUUGGCAUGCACUUCUCUCUCAGUAGGACGUCGCGACCCGUUUGGUGUCGAUCUACGACCGCGGUGGUAGCCUGUCACAAGCUUAUUCGCGCCAGACCCCGCGUGCUCCGGCCGACUGCCAGACGGUAUAAUUGAUAUGGUAUAGGGUCGCUUUUAAGCGUUCGGCCGGUUGCAAGCACGGACGGUUAUUGGCCGUCGGACCUAGUCCGGCAUCGAUGCCGCCUCGAGCUGUUAGCUACCGUGUUCUCGAACGGACUCUAUUACCGGUCAGCGAUGCUAUUGCUUUGGGUACUUUCAGGACCCGUCUUGAAACACGGACCAAGGAGUCUAGCAUGUGCGCGAGUCAUUGGGAAAUACAAAACCUAAAGGCGCAAUGAACGUAAAGGUUUGCUUAAGUAAACUGAGGGAUGACGGACCGCAUCUACGGAUGCGUGCUUGCAAUCCCGAGGCGUCUCACUCUCAUUGCGAGAAGAGACGCACUCAGAGCGUACACGCUAGGACCCGAAAGAUGGUGAACUAUGCCCGGUCAGGUCGAAGUCAGGGAAAACCCUGAUGAAGGACCGUAGCGAUUCUGACGUGCAAAUCGAUCGUCGGAACUGGGUAUAGGGGCGAAAGACUAAUCGAACCAUCUAGUAGCUGGUUCCCUCCGAAGUUUCCCUCAGGAUAGCUGGCAUUCGAUGAGCGAGUCUCAUCCGGUAAAGCGAAUGAUUAGAGGCCUUGGGGCCGAAACGACCUCAACCUAUUCUCAAACUUCAAAUGGGUGAGAUCUCUGGCUUGCUUGAAUAGUGAAGCCAGAGAUUUGGAUCAGAGUGCCUAGUGGGCCAUUUUUGUUAAGCAGAACUGGCGCUGUGGGAUGAACCAAACGCCGAGUUAAGGCGCCUAAACGACGCUAAUGGGAUACCAUGAAAGGCGUUGGUUGCUUAAGACAGCAGGACGGUGGCCAUGGAAGUUGGAAUCCGCUCAGGAGUAUGUAACAUCUCACCUGCCGAAGCAACUAGCCCUGAAAAUGGAUGGCGCUGAAGCGUCGUGCCUAUACUCGGCCGCCAGGGCAUGAGAAACGUUCAUAAUAGUUCGUUUUGACGCCCUGGUGAGUAGGAGGGUCGCGGUGGUGUGCGCAGAAGGGUUUGGGCGUAAGCCUGCCUGGAGCCGCCAUCGGUGCAGAUCUUGGUGGUAGUAGCAAAUACUCCAGCGAGGUCCUGGAGGACUGACGUGGAGAAGGGUUUUGUGUGAACAGCCGUUGCACACGAGUCAGUCGAUCCUAAGCCCCAGGAGAAAUCGUGACUUAGAUCUGAGCACGGUCUCGUGUCUAGGCCCCCCGCGGAUCUUUCUUGCUGCGAGGUUUCUGUGCCGGCUUCGGUCGGUCAGUCGUACUCUUCGGCCGCCAUUCAACAGUCAUGUCAGAACUGGCACGGACUAGGGGAAUCCGACUGUCUAAUUAAAACAAAGCAUUGCGAUGGCCCUAGCGGGUGUUGACGCAAUGUGAUUUCUGCCCAGUGCUCUGAAUGUCAACGUGAAGAAAUUCAAGCAAGCGCGGGUAAACGGCGGGAGUAACUAUGACUCUCUUAAGGGUGAGGCUGCGGUUUCUGUGAAGUCAAGGUCGAGCACGUGGCCUCCACAAGGCUGGUCGUGUGGGAGACUAUGGUUUCACCGAAGCCGUAGUCAAGCACGUGACCCCCUUCUCGUGGGUCCCGCCGUUAGUACCCCUCCGGGGGGAACUAAUAGUCACCGCUGCGUCCAUGGACCUGGUGGGCUGCCAACUCCCUCGUUCCUACAAAACAGUUGGUUCAAUGUACAAUACUAAGCCUCGGAUGACUAAUUUAAACUCGGGUGGACCCGCAGGUCCUUCCCAACCGACUGACACAGGUAAUCAUCUUUGCCGCUACCCACAAUGUAAUAAAGCCUUUAAAACCUCAGUGGGUCGUGGAGUGCACGAGCAAAAGCAACAUAAAGAAUGGUAUGACAGUAGAAUGGCGUUGAUAGAGCCAAAGAAAGCCAGAUGGUCUGAAGAAAAGCAAGCACUAAUGGCUAAAGAAGAAGCGGCACUAGUGAUUAAGGAAACCCCCCAUAUUAACAAAGCCCUUCUCGCGGUAACACCCGGUCGAUCUCUGGAAGCCAUUAAAGGCCAAAGGAGAUCGCCGAAAUAUAAAAGCCAGGUUGCUGACUUUGUUAGCUUAAUGUCCAACCAAGAUAAUAUAGAGCAUUGCUCUCCGGCUACAGCAGAUACCUCCGGAGAAGCCCUACUAUUGGCGCUGGGGCAGGCAGCCGCCGACACCGAUGAAAGAUUCAAUGGUAGAAUGCUGGCUAACGACUUAAAGAAAAAGAUCGCUGACUACCUUAAGUCAACAUUUCCACCAAAAAAUAGACCAUUGAACGAGAGAACUAGAAGAGAAGGCUAUAAGCCAAAACUUAAUAAGAGACGAACAAGAAGGCUCCAGUUCAAAACUACCCAACAACACUGGGCUAAGCAC
rnacentral:rRNA from 1 species